UACGUAGGGUGCGAGCGUUGUCCGGCAUUAUUGGGCGUAAAGGGCUCGUAGGCGGUUUGUCGCGUCGGGAGUGAAAACUCAGGGCUUAACCCUGAGCCUGCUUCCGAUACGGGCAGACUAGAGGUAUGCAGGGGAGAACGGAAUUCCUGGUGUAGCGGUGAAAUGCGCAGAUAUCAGGAGGAACACCGGUGGCGAAGGCGGUUCUCUGGGCCUGUACUGACGCUGAGGAGCGAAAGCGUGGGGAGCGAACAGG
rnacentral:rRNA from 1 species